rnacentral:lncRNA from 1 species
UAAAACUAAGGUGAUCUGGAAAGCUCUCUGAAUUUAACUUGUGUGUUUCAAAUGGAUCUAACCUGAUCCUUUGCUGUUUUGUAAUCUUGUACUCUGCUUCUACCGUUAAGUGGUCAUUUAUGUAUGUGAAAACUUAGGUACUGGAACAUCUGUUGAGGCCUUGGAUAUGUGUAUCUGUGUGUUUGGGAUCUACCGUUUUUUGGUUGGAGAUGUUCAAGAAUUGGAUGAAACCCUGUGAGCUGCUUACCUGGUUUCAAGAUUACAAAGAAACUGCGGAGCACUAAUGGAACUGUCAAGAGGAAAAACACCAGCAGACCACAUGAAACCUAGCAGAAGGUCCCCUGGCAGAGCUGCAGGAGCAAAGGCUCAGAACAGGCACCAGGGAAGGGAAGGCAGAGGGAUAGACUUCAUUUUUGCCAGAACCACAAGAUCUAUUGGAUUAAUGCUUUUGGUAUCAUUGCUCCAACCAGCCUCACUAGGGUUGGUGACCAAUUGCAUCCUUAUGAAGUUCCAGUACAUGUAUUUAUUUUUACAUGUACAUAGGUUCCUUGUAAUUGGUAUUCAGCAAGGUCUGCAACUGAGAUGUGUGUCAGGUGGAGCUGCCAGGAAGUCUUUGCUGAAAGGGUUGGAGGUGCUUUUAUGACUCUCAGAUAGAAAUCCAAGCUCGAGAUACAAAACUAUUAUUCAUCAUAAAAUAUUGCUAACACUGAAGAACAUUCUCAAGCAUUUCACUGGAUUUUAUGCUGGAGUGAAGGAAAUGAACUGUUCAGGGGUUGUGUAAUUGUUAUUAAAAGGUUCUUCAACAUACAUAAAAAUUAUACCUGAGCUGAAACUGUUCAUUAAAGAUGAGUGAAAACUACUGAAGUGGGCUGUUCUUUUUCCCCUGGAUAUCACUACAGGCCUUCUUAAUAUAUUACACAGAUACUAAUUUGUUUGCCUUGGAGGUCUGUGAUAAUUCGUCAGUGAAGUGAGUUUCCAGAGAAAAUGGAAAAUAGGAAUAAAUGAGAAGAGAAGAAUAAUGAGAUUUGCUGG